rnacentral:lncRNA from 1 species
UGUUUUUUUGAGACAGGGUUGGGCCUGGAGAUUUAAUACCAGCUGGCAUUGAGUUCCCAGCUGUGCACCUACCUCUGCUCCCUGAAGGCUGUGAUUGCAGCUGUGCACCUACCUCUGAUCCCUGAAGGCUGUGGUUGCAGCUGUGUACCACCUUGUUUUCAAAGCUUUAUUUUAGUUGGAUAUGGUGUCAAGCACCUACUAAUAUGAUCACUUGGGAGAUAGAGAUAGGAAGAGUAAGAAUUUAAUGCCAACCUUAGCCACAUAUUGAGUUUGAGGCCAGUCUAGGCUGUAGAAGUAUUUGCUUAAACAAACAAACAUCCAAACCAACCAACCGUCCAACCAACCAACUAACUAAUCAACCAAACAAAACUCCCCAAACCAUGUGUCUUAGUAAGGGUUUGUAUUCCUGCUCAAACAUCAUGACCAAGAAGCAAGUUGGGGAGGAAAGGGUUUAUUCAGCUUAUAAUUCCACAUUGCUGUUCAUCACCAAAAGAAGUCAGGACUGGAACUCAAGCAGGUCAGGAAGCAGGAGCUGAUGCAGAAGCCAUGGAGGUAUGUCACUUCCCUGGCUUGCUCAGCUUGCUUUCCUAUAGAACUCAGGACUAUCAGCCCAGGGAUAGCACCAUCUACAAUGGGCCCUCCCACCCUUAAUCACUAAUUGAGAAAAUGCCUUACAGCUGGAUCUCAUGGAGGCAUUUCCUCAAGGGAGGCUCCUUUCUCUGUGAUAACUCAAGCUUAUGUCAAGUUGACACACCAGCCAGUACCGAAACCUAAGAGUCAAUAAAUAAAAUUAAAGCAUUAUUUUUUUAUAGAUUGUGUACUAACCACACUAGCCUUUUGUGGGGGCUACCAUCUCUCAAAUAUUGUUUUAAAGGGAUUUGAAUAUUCAUCUAUAGAGUGUUGUUGUUCUUCCAUACCACAGGCUCCCCCACCCCUGUCUCAAUUACAGUUUCCUAUGGCCAGUUGGAAUCCAAAUAUAUUAAAGAGGAAAUUCCAAAAUAAAUAAUUGCAGAGGCUUUCAUUUGCACGCCAUGUUGAACAUUUCACUUUGUUUGACUAUGGCUAGUCCAGGAUGUGAAUUCUCCCUUCCCCACAGUGUCCAUGCUGGGCGUACUGUCUUCCUAGUGGUCUCCCCGCAAUUUCCUUGGCUAUCAGAUCAACCAUCAUAGUGUCAUAGUGUCAUCUCUUUUCAACUAGGCUUUAGUUUAUUUAAUGGUGGCCCCCAGCAUAUAAGAAUUAGCAUGCUGAUCUCUCAGAUAUACCAAAGAGAAGCUCAAACUUCUUUUGAAUGAAAAGAUGGACACUCUUGACUUGAUGAUAACAGGAUAAAAAAAUGUGUAUUCAGAUUGCUAAGAUCUGUGGUAAGAAGAAGCCUUCUGAAUGAGAAAUUGCCAAGCAAAGACAUCUGUGUUAAUUUUGCAGUCUCACCUCAAAUUGCAAGUUACAGCUCUGGUAUAUGAAAGAUGCUUGGUUGAGAUGG